rnacentral:rRNA from 1 species
CAACCUGCCCAGAAGUGGGGGACAACAGCCUGAAAGGGCUGCUAAUACCGCAUGUGAACGAUUUGAGGCAUCUCAGAUUGUUUAAAGCUUUAUGCGCUUCUGGAUGGGCUUGCGGCCUAUCAGGUAGUUGGUGGGGUAAUGGCCUACCAAGCCGACGACGGGUAGCUGGUCUGAGAGGACGAUCAGCCGGAUUGGGACUGAGAUACGGCCCAG